rnacentral:rRNA from 1 species
ACGAACGCUGGCGGCAUGCCUAACACAUGCAAGUCGAACGAGACCUUCGGGUCUAGUGGCGGACGGGUGAGUAACGCGUGGGAACCUGCACUUCAGUGGGGGAUAACGACGGGAAACUGUCGCUAAUACCGCAUACGCCCUACGGGGGAAAGAUUUAUCGCUGAAGGAUGGGCCCGCGUCGGAUUAGCUAGUUGGUGAGGUAACGGCUCACCAAGGCGACGAUCCGUAGCUGGUCUAAGAGGAUGAUCAGCCACACUGGGACUGAGACACGGCCCAGACUCCUACGGGAGGCAGCAGUGGGGAAUAUUGGACAAUGGGCGAAAGCCUGAUCCAGCAAUGCCGCGUGAGUGAUGAAGGCCUUAGGGUUGUAAAGCUCUUUUACCCGGGAUGAUAAUGACAGUACCGGGAGAAUAAGCCCCGGCUAACUCCGU